CUGAGCAGAUGACAGUUAAGCAGAUUAAGUUAACAGAUAAGUAGAUGACGUAAGGAGCCAGGGAGCUUGAUACACACAAGAGGUGGUGGUGGUUUUAUACGGGGCUUGAUUGGUGUUGACAGGUGGAGUGCAUCAAUAUUCAGGUGAUUGUGAAUGAGUAGGAGGAGCUGAAGUAUAUGGCGUUGCUGUUAAUUCUGUGACAGUAACCCUUCCUCCACGGGCAGAUCCAUAAGCCCGCAGGACAAUGCGACAAAGAUUGCCAUGCCCCUGGGUGCUGGACGAUCAGGAUGAUGAGUUUUGAACUCUGUCAAUAAUUUAGGAUCAAGGUUGUCAUCACAUGCUACCCAAUGAUCUCUCCUAUGGCCCGAAUCCCUCCCAGUCAACCAGAUAUUCCAAGUGGCUGCCUCAUUACCAGGAGUCCAGAAUGGUGUUGACUCUGUAGAUGUUUUGUUCCUUAAUGAUCUCUCAAGGAGGAGGAAGGAUGUCAGGCUCGCCAGAUCCUGUGGGAGGAGAGACCAAAGGGUUAGUGAACGGUUUGAGGAGUGAGACAUAGAGGGACCUGCUUCUCUUGGUGGUGAUGUUCGGCCAGGUUCCGGGAGUAGAUAAGGAGAUUGUCAAUGUAUACGACGAAGAACCGAUGGAGGAACUCCCGGAACACCUCAUUCAUUGGCAGAUGGAGGAUCCGACUGAGCUUGUAAGCGCUACACAGGUCAAGUUUAGAGAAGUUGAGAGCCCCACGAAGCUGUUCCAGGGUGACUGGGACCAGAGGAAGUGGGUAGCAAUAUUUGACAGUUUUGAGUUCAGGAUAUGCUAAUUGAUGCAUGGCUUCAAGCCUCCAUCCUUCUUGCUGACUAAAAAGAAGCUGAAUGCUGCUGGUGAAGUACAAGAGUGGAUAAAUUCCUGCUUGAGAGUCUCCUCGAUUUACUCCUCCAUGGCCUUCUGUUCCGGGAUGGACAGUGGGUAUACUCUACCCUUGGGUAGCAUGGCCCCAGGCAGCAGGUCAAUUGUGCAGUCCCAUGGCUGAAGAGGUGCUAAUUUUGUUGCUGCCUGCUUUCUGAAGACACCCUGGAAUGCCCUGUAGGCAGGUGGAAUCUCAGGAGUCUCCGAGGUUACUGGACUCUCCAUUAUUGUGGAACAAAUGGUCACUUCACUAUUUGUGGAUGAGGAUGGAGCUGUAGAUAACUUCUGAACAGAAGACAUGCAGUUUUGGAGACGGUCAUCACUCCACUGGAGGAUAUUACCAGUUUUCCACUUGACUUGAGGGAAAUGUUGAGUCAGCCAAAGGUGUUCCAUGAUGAUAUCAGCAGUAGAACCAUCCAGCACCAGAAAGAAGAAUUCCCGAUGCAAACAGCCAAUGCGGAGCAUUAUGUUAGGGCAGCAGUAUAGGAUCUUGCUUAUGCCCAGCGGUUUUCCCAGGAUAGUGUGAAUGUUGAAAGCAGGUUUUCCUCUUAAUGUUUAAAUGUCGUAAUAGAUUCAGCGAGAUGAAGUUCCUGGACGAUCCUUAGUCGAGGAGGACUUGCGCUGAAACAGUAUCCAGUAAUCAGUAUUUGGGUGAUUGUGAACAAGUGGGACUUCCUGACACUUGCAUUAUACCAACUUAAAAUGUAAAAAUAAUUUUGUCAACUAUGCCUUAGUAAUAAUCAUACUUAAAAUCAAUAUAAUGUACAGUUUUACUUGUUUUUACUUGUGAAAAAAUACAUUUUUAUUUCACUUUUAAAUACACAACAUGAUACAUUGUUUGUAACAGGCUACUAUUUAACUGUACUUUCCACAAGCAUUUCAACAUUGUAUCA